UUCUUUUACAGCUGAUACACCACCCAUCUCCUCUCAUUUGCCAUACAGAACACCGGCGAUGGAGAGAGAUAACCAUGUUUGAGAGAAAGAGGUAGAGCGUUGCGAGAGUAGACAUAGAAAGAGGGAGCCAACGAUCGACGAUUAAGAAGGCGACGACGGUGGUUCUGUUUUUGGCGAUGGCGGUGACUUCAAGUAACGAAGACCCGACUAGGGUUCAAGCGACAUUCCGGCUACCCCUUUUUACACUUUUCACUCUCCUCUUUCCAUCCAGUAUCAAUUGUCAUCUUUGCUUACAUUAUUGGGGAUCUUGCGAAUUAUAGACGAUUUUAGGUUCCGAUCUCAAGUCUCAACAUCAUGCAAAUUAACUCUCUAAUUUCAGGGUUUUUGUUGUUCGCGUUAUGAUUGGUUCACCAGGAGUGGGGUUCAUGCCGCAUAUCCUUGAUGUUGCUGGAGAGGUUCAACCUUGACCCUUUAAUGUUUCUUUCUUUGGUAUAGUUUGUUUAUGUUUUUUUUACUACUACAUUUGUAUGGUAAUAAUUGAUUCAGACCAAGACUCUAACACUAACACUGGGCCUCUCUCUGUAUUGAUGAUGAGUGUCAAGAAUAAUACACAGGUAGUUAAAGGUUCAAGGUGCAACCAACAAUACUCGAUGUGGAUGCAACUCGGAGUGUGGAAAGGAUUGCCCCUGCUUAAACAAUUCCCCUGCUGUGAAAAGUAUUGUGGGUAUGUAUUAUGAGUUUAAGAAGUGAUGUCAGCAUCGUUCUUUUAAGAGACAUACAUGCGCACCCGGUUGAACAUGCCAUAUGUUACUAAACUCGAUGAUAUAAUACAAAGUAACUGGUGGAUGGUUGACAUAUUAAGACAAAGCUUGCGUAUCAUCAGUUACAACAACAACGACAGGAAGAAGAAACAACUUAGGUGACUUUCAUUUCACUUGGAUAUUGUGCUAAUAUGGCUUUUCUGGAUGUUAGUAUCCCAGCUCUACCCAGGGCUGCUGCACGUACAACUUUGUUUCAACUACAAUUUCUCUUGCAAAAUGUUUGACAAAGCCUAGCAUUUACAUUCCUAUCAAGAUACAAAAGGUACCUUGGCUGCUACAGUUGAAGAAACGUAGGCGAUGUCUUAUUUGCGGGUUAGACACCGUUCCGGGGUACUGGCGCAAUAUGGGUCAAGUUGGGUAGUGCAACUUGCUGGGUAUUGCUGAUGUAUGCCUGUAAAAUUUAGUUUAAUAUGUUUGUUUUCCUUUUUUGCUUCCUUUGGUGUACUGUGGCGAGCCUUUGGCUUGUAGUGUUUUUUUGGGUUAAUAAAAAAUGGUGUUUUGUUUGCC